UUCGAGUGGCGGACGGGUGAGUAACGCGUGGGUAACCUGCCUUACACAGGGGGAUAACACCUGGAAACAGGUGCUAAUACCGCAUAAGCGCACAGGGCCGCAUGGCCCGGNGUGAAAAACUCCGGUGGUGUAAGAUGGACCCGCGUCUGAUUAGCUUGUUGGCGGGGUAGGGGCCCACCAAGGCGACGAUCAGUAGCCGGCCUGAGAGGGUGGACGGCCACAUUGGGACUGAGACACGGCCCAGACUCCUACGGAAGGCAGCAG
rnacentral:rRNA from 1 species